rnacentral:rRNA from 1 species
GUCGAGAAUAAUUCACAAUGGACGAAAGUCUGAUGGUGCAACGCCGCGUGGAGGAUGACGGUCUUCGGAUUGUAAACUCCUGUCAUCCGGGAGUAAGACCUGGCUGUGAAUAGCAGACAGGGUUGAUAGUACCGGAAGAGGAAGGGACGGCUAACUUCGUGCCAGCAGCCGCGGUAAUACGAAGGUCCCGAGCGUUGUUCGGAAUCACUGGGCGUAAAGGGAGCGUAGGCGGCGUGGUAAGUCAGAUGUGAAAUCCCGGGGCUCAACCCCGGAACUGCAUCAGAUACUGCCGUGCUAGAGGAUUGGAGAGGUAGCUGGAAUUCUUGGUGUAGCAGUGAAAUGCGUGGAGAUCAAGAGGAACACUCGUGGCGAAAGCGAGCUACUGGACAAUAUCUGACGCUGAGGCUCGAAGGCCAGGGUAGCGAAAGGGAUUAGAAACCCGAGUAGUCC